AACGCCCGGCCAGGGGGCGGGCCUCACAUGGUGGGCGCUGUGGCUGCGGCUGCGGCUGCAGCGGCCCCAGGUGCAAAGACUGCCGCUGAAUGUGAGCAGCGAGGCGAGCGGUCGAGGUAGCGAGGAGUCAGGGUGGCCCGCAGCAGGAAGACAGAAGACGUGGAGACAGACUGGCGUUUUGCCUCAGAGGAAGAAGUGGGGUCCGCCAUCCCAUUCUGUGUGCAAGUGCCAUUUCCAGUGAUUCGUACUUUCAUGUCCGAGUUGGAAACCUUGGCCCGACGGUGAUGGACUGCACGACUUGCCGGACUCCCAAGUUCGAAGUUCCUGCAGCAGCGCUUGCUUUGUGGCGCCACCUGGAACCUAGAGAACGGUGGGGGUAAAUGAGGGGAGCCUGAAGUUUCUGCUCUGGUCUUGCGUGUUCGAAUCCCAUCGCUGAGACUUUCUUCUGCUUUGGAUCGCUUGUCCCAGGCUGUCGCCGCGCUGCGGCGUCUCCCGUAAUAGGAGCCUAACGCCAACCCCUGCGCCAGGCAGGGAUGGAAUCAUCAUUCUCAUUGUAUAGAUGGACACUGAGAAUCGAGAACGGAAACGACUUCUUUUGAGUUGGGUGCCCCUCCCCCCUUGCAGGCAGCCGCCUUUCUUUGUUGCCAUAGCACAAAUCACAAGGGUAUUUAUGGAACAAAAGCUCAGACCGCUGAGAUGUUCACUUUGCCUUUCAGCAGCACUCACAUUGAGAUAUGAGAAGACUGCAGCAAGAGCAAAAGCGUUGUGCCACCUCCUAUGGAUGUGAAGAGGAUGUGCUGACACGUGUGCUCGGGAGCCAGAUUUUGUGGCCUUGGGGAAAGGACUGAAUAUUUCUGUGCUUCGUCGUUUGCAUCUGUGGAAUGCAGGUGAUACUGAGCUCUUCCUUGUGGGAUUAUUGCCUGGAAAUACACCAUUAUAUGUUCAU
rnacentral:lncRNA from 1 species